GGAGAGAUGACCGAGCGGCCGAAGGUGCCUGAUUCGAAAUCAGGUGUACUCGUGAGGGUACCGCGGGUUCGAAUCCCGCUCUCUCCGCCG
rnacentral:tRNA from 1 species